GGCGCUCCUCUGCUUCCAGUUCAGUCAAUGAUCUCUGGCCCCAAGAUUUUACAGCCAGCUCGAUAGCUUCUUCAGCCAAGUUAGUAUUCUCAUUAGUUAGCUUGCAUGGAAACAAACUUUGAUUGACCUUCCAUGUCUUCCUUGGAGGAAGUUUCUUCACUGAUACAAAACCUCCUUCAGUUGGCUUAACAACUCUUGGCAUAAGCAUCUCACGUAGCUUCAAC
rnacentral:misc_RNA from 1 species